rnacentral:lncRNA from 1 species
UAGAAAAAAUGAAAGAAAAUUUCAAAAACAACGAAAUUAGAAGGGCUUACGAAUACCUAAAAAAAAUAAGAAGUGGGUAUAAACCUCAAACAAGUCUAUGUAAAGAUGAAAGUGGGCAAAUAAUCAAUGACCAACAGAAAGCCACAGAAACCUGAAAGCAAGAGAAUGAAGUAGAUAAUGGAAUAGAAGCUCCAACUAUAGAGGAAGUUCUGGAAGCUAUUAAGUAAGGCCCAGAAAAACAAUCAAGCUCCGAGAGUUGACGAAAUACCAGCAGAACUGUAUAAGGUAAUUGGCGACCACCUAGCAAGUCACAUCCACGCGCUCAUCAAAGACAUAUGGCAAG